CGACCCCUUUAUUUCUUGCCCACCAAAGCAGGGUAGUAGUACCGUAGGCAGGGCAAAGCUACAGCUCCCGGCCACGGCCGUCUCCGAAAAGUUGGUGGGGGGAUUGAAUUUGCAACCUCGCUUCGUCUCUCCGGCGCGCAAAACAUGAAAUUUUUGGAUCUGGCAAUCCUGCUUCAGAAUUCAAUUCAAAAAGUCAAAUAAAGUUUUGAGUUGCAGACACAGCAGUGCUAAAUCUGUGCUGAUUCCAGUUUCCAGAUCUUCGUCUUAGCCUUGCCACAUGCAGAAGCCACUUCGGAAAUAAGGAAAUAUACAUUUCUGCCUUCUGGGAGAUGUGGUUUUCUCUCUUUCAGGCUGAAGGCUCCUGUGUUUAGCUGUAGAUCUGUAACUGAGCAUCUAUUCUAAGGGCCAGUUCUCACAUGCACGCAGUGCCAUCAGUGAAUCAUCAUUUGAUGAUUCAGCACUUUGAUGACUCAUAGAUGGCUUGCCAACCAAUUUCGCUGACACUUUUUGCCACAGGGAUCAAGCGAAGAUAUUUUUAAUUUAAGGAAAGCUUUAUCGGUCAGUAGUUAUUCACUUGAAAAGCAUAGGGGUGUUGGCUUGCAGUGAAGGCCAUAUGGCACGAGUUUUAUUUUAUUGGACUCCCCAACUCCAAACUUGGCACCUUGCAAUAUAAAAAAUGAUAAGAUAAAUUCAAAAUGAAAAAUACAAUAAGGGAACUAGGUCAGCAGUGAGCAGUUUUCCUUUGCCAAGCAAGCUAACAAACCAUAUUCAAAAUUUGAGAUUGGGUUAAUGUUGUGUACAUGAUAACACAUAUGAACUACCAUCCAUUCUUGUCUUUUUUGUCCCUCAGUGCAGGGAACAGUAGAAAGACAUAUGCAUGUAUACCUGUCUGAACAUACACGUAACUGCUGUGUGUAUAUGAUAAUGAUGAGUAUAAACAUUUAUUAAAAUGAACGACCUGA